CUAUGCGCCUUGCCAGCCCGCUCAGGUGUGCCAGCAGCCGCGGUAAUACGGAGGAUGCGAGCGUUAUCCGGAUUUAUUGGGUUUAAAGGGUGCGUAGGCGGUCCGUUAAGUCAGCGGUAAAAUUGCGGGGCUCAACCCCGUCGAGCCGUUGAAACUGUCAGACUUGAGUUGGCGAGAAGUACGCGGAAUGCGCGGUGUAGCGGUGAAAUGCAUAGAUAUCGCGCAGAACUCCGAUUGCGAAGGCAGCGUACCGGCGCCACACUGACGCUGAGGCACGAAAGCGUGGGGAUCGAACAGG
rnacentral:rRNA from 1 species